ACUAAAUAGAUACCCCGGUAGUCCACGCUGUAAACGAUGAUUACUCGAUGUUGGCGAUACACAGUCAGCGUCUGAGCGAAAGCAAUAAGUAAUCCACCUGGGGAGUACGAUCGCAAGAUUGAAACUCAAAGGAAUUGACGGGGGCCCGGCACAAGCGGAGGAGCAUGUGGUUUUAAUUUCGAUGAUACGCGAGGAACCUUACCUGGGCUCGAACGUAAGAUGACUGUAGGUGAAAGCUUACAUCUCUUCGGAGCAUUUUACGAGGUGCUGCAUGGUUGUCGUCAGCUCGUGCCGUGAGGUGUCGGGUUAAGUCCCAUAACGAGCGCAACCCCUACCUUUAGUUGCCAACAGGUCAUGCUGGGGACUCUAAAGGAACUGCCUACGCAAGUAGUGAGGAAGGCGGGGAUGACGUCAAAUCAGCACGGCCCUUACGUCCAGGGCUACACACGUGCUACAAUGGCCGAUACAGAGGGCAGCUACCUGGUGACAGGAUGCAAAUCUCCAAAGUCGGUCUCAGUUCGGAUC
rnacentral:rRNA from 1 species